rnacentral:rRNA from 1 species
GAUAAUAAAAAAAUAAUUUAAAAAGCACGCCCGAUCUCGUAAGCUAUGCAGGGUCGGGCCUGGUUAGUGCUUGGAUGGGAGACCGCCUGGGAAUACCAGGUGCUGUAAGCU